rnacentral:rRNA from 1 species
GGCGAACGCUGGCGGCGUGCUUAACACAUGCAAGUCGAACGGUAAGGCCCUUCGGGGUACACGAGUGGCGAACGGGUGAGUAACACGUGGGUGAUCUGCCCUGCACUUCGGGAUAAGCCUGGGAAACUGGGUCUAAUACCGGAUAGGACUCCGGACUGCAUGGUCUGGGGUGGAAAGCUUUUGCGGUGUGGGAUGGGCCCGCGGCCUAUCAGCUUGUUGGUGGGGUGAUGGCCUACCAAGGCGACGACGGGUAGCCGGCCUGAGAGGGUGACCGGCCACACUGGGACUUAGAUACGGCCCAGACUCCUACGGGAGGCAGCAGUGGGGAAUAUUGCACAAUGGGCGCAAGCCUGAUGCAGCGACGCCGCGUGAGGGAUGACGGCCUUCGGGUUGUAAACCUCUUUCAGCACAGACGAAGCGCAAGUGACGGUAUGUGCAGAAGAAGGACCGGCCAGCUACGUGCCAGCCGCCGCAGUAA